rnacentral:lncRNA from 1 species
GAUAAUUUCAAGUCUUUUUACUGCUAGUAAAAUAAUUAUACACAAUUAUUUUACUCUAUAUUUGUUAUGAUAUGUGUUUAACAAAGUGUUAUACUAAUAAAUGUAUGUGUAUAUAUAUAUAUAUAUAUAUAUAUAUAUAUAUAUAUAUAUAUAUAUNNNNNNNNNNUAUAUAUAUAUAUAUAUAUAUAUAUAUAUAUAUAUAUAUAUAUAUAUGUAUAGGUGUGUAUAUAUAUACAAAAUAAUUUGUUACAUAUAUAUAUAUAUAUAUAUUUCCAUAUCAUUUUUAAUCCACAAUAUUGUUACACUUGACUUUGAACCUCAUACUGUAUUUAUUUUUAAUAGUGUGCUUUUGUACAGUUGCAUAUAUUUUUGUAUUUAUUAAUAUGUAUAACUUUAUGCAUAUUAUGGUAAUAAUAACCAUUUUAGACAAGGUGUAUAUUUUAUAAUCACAAUAAUAAUGUGUCAUUCUGUUGGUAAAUAAAACAUAUACAUAUAAAUAAGCUCAAAAUAACAUUAUUUUUUUAUCUAAACCAAAAGAGAUGGAGCAUAGUGAAAAUUUAAAAAGAAAAAACAUUAACGAGAAUAAUUUAAAUUUUGAAAAGUUUAAAAAAAAUGCUUUUGAAAUAAUUGAGUAUAAAGAUAAAAUAAUAAGAAUGUUAUGUGCUAUAUUAGAAGUACAAGGAACUACUACUAUAAAUAUUAAAGAGUUUAUAUCAAACUUAAGUACAACAGAUCAAAUGAAAGAUCUCUUAUUUGAUAGCUCUGAAAACGACUUAAAAUCAAAUAACAAAAAAACGUCCUCUAGAAAAAGAACCCUAAUAACUAUUCCUAAGUUCAAAAAAUUAAAAAAAAAAAAUGAGCUAAAUAUAUUUUCAAGCCCAAAUAAAAUAAAUGACGAGUUAAAUAAAGAAAAGAAUUUUUCUGAUUCUAUUCUAAGUUCUUAUAAAUUAUUUUUAACCGAAAAACAAAAUGAAAAUAAAAUAGAAAAAGAACAGAUAAAUGAUGAGACUUUUUCUGACAUACAAAAUAUAUCAAAAGAAAAUUCCGAUAUCGAAACAGAACUAAAUCUAAAUAAAACUGGCAGUGUAUCUUUGAUAAACUCUAAAUCAAAUAAGAGUUUUAUUGACAGCCAUAAAAAGGCAUUAGAAAAUUUCCAAAAGGAUGAUGCAAAUUUUGAAUGUACAUAUAAUUGUAAAAGCGAAAAAGGACAAAAAAGUUCUAACUUAAGCACAAAAAUUAAUGAUUUAAAUGUUGAACAAUGUCAACUGUGUUUAAUGCCUAAUACGGAAUCGCUACAUGGAAAUUUCCCUCCCCUCUUUUAUAAACUAAGUUGUGGCCACGUUUUUCAUUUAAUGUGUAUCUAUGAAACUGUUAUAAGAAGGGAAUGUAGAAAGACUUGUUGUAUUUGUCAUACUGACUUGAGUGAAGCAGAUAAAAAUGAAAUUGUAAACAAAGUUAAAUGGGAAAAAAAGGAAAAUGAAAAAAGAAGCAAACUUUUAUUUAAAGUAAUGAAAUUACAAGCCGAAAACAAUAAUUAAAAAUAAACAAAUAAAUAAGAAACCA